rnacentral:rRNA from 1 species
UACAGAGGUCUCAAGCGUUGUUCGGAUUCAUUGGGCGUAAAGGGUGCGUAGGCGGCGCGGUAAGUCGGGUGUGAAAUCUCGGAGCUUAACUCCGAAACUGCAUUCGAUACUGCCGUGCUUGAGGACUGGAGAGGAGACUGGAAUUUACGGUGUAGCGGUGAAAUGCGUAGAUAUCGUAAGGAAGACCAGGUGGACGGAAGGCGGGUCUGCGUCGGACAGUUCCUGACGGCU